AGUGGCAGGGCACCAGAAUCCACAUGUUGCUCUUUAGAAAAGCUUCUAGCAAGUGUCAGUAAACAGAGAACAUAAAAAAGAAAAAUGAAGCCACAACUAGUGAAAACUGCAGAGAACCCUAUGGCAUACCCAGCCUCAAUUAAUACAUCUGCAAUUCUUCCCUCACUUCUGGGAAUAAAGGCUUCAGAAAGAAUACUAAAAGCCGGAGGACCAGGAAAUUUGGUGCAAGAUUUUUAUCUUCUACAUAAGGACAGGGAAACUAUACAUAUGAAAUCUCAACAACAAAACAAUGGCACCACCAGUUGGCAUACUAAUGUAAACAAGAGAGUUUUCAUAGGGACUAGGUACUAUCCAUCCUGUAUGUCAUAGAUUUUGCUGGUCAGCAUCUAUUAUUGCCUUCCAGUAUUUUUAAAUUCCUGUGUAAUAGUAGCAUAUUCACUAGAUGUAAUUGUUUGUGAUGCUUACUGAUAAACAAGUUCACCCUUUCUAGUACUUUCUGAACUCCAACCAACUGGCUGGUUCUGGCUAAAAACUCUUCAAGCUAACUGAUUCAAACUGUCUUCUCUAGGUUUUUCACUGAAUUUCUCUGCUUGGAAACACUACCUCUGAAAUCCAUGAACUGAACUGUUCUGACUGCACUGAGUACACUAACUGCCUGAACUGAAUGGAACUGAGUAGAACUGCAUGAAUUCAACUGAACUCAACUGCAUUCAAGUGAACUGCACCUAACUGCACUGAACUAAACACAACUAAACUCCGGUCCACUGCAUCCACUGAACUGAACUGAACUGCACUUCACUGAACAUCCAACCUCUGGACUCAUGCUGUGCUACUCUUAAGCAGCCUUCUUUCCUAUCUGAUUUGUGAGAGUUGGGUCUAUCCUAUCUCUCACUCAUUCUGUCAAAUCUUUCUCUAAUUCCUCACUUUGUCUGUCCCUCAACUAGCUGUCACCUUCAAAUGUGGCUGCUUUCUUUUACAAUUAACUUUCCCCUCAUUGUUUGGGAUUAAAGGUUGUACUACGGUGAGUUUGUAUUCCAUCCAAAGAGUUUAAAGGAUCAUUCUUGCCUGAUCACACAGACCUACACAGUCUUUGGACAUGGUUUCUUGCCAGAGCUGUCAUGUUGCUGGAUUGAAAUUCCUCUACAUUCCUGAAUUUGUUUUUUAAUGGGUUGUGAACUUCUGUUCAAUUUUCAUGAAAAGAAUGGAAAUCUGAAAUAAAUCCUAAUAGCACAGUU